rnacentral:rRNA from 1 species
UACGUAGGGUGCGAGCGUUGUCCGGAAUUAUUGGGCGUAAAGGGCUCGUAGGCGGUCUGUUGCGUCGGGAGUGAAAACUCAGGGCUUAACCCUGGGCCUGCUUCCGAUACGGGCAGACUGAGGUAUGCAGGGGAGAACGGAAUUCCUGGUGUAGCGGUGAAAUGCGCAGAUAUCAGGAGGAACACCGGUGGCGAAGGCGGUUCUCUGGGCAUGUCCUGACGCUGAGGAGCGAAAGUGUGGGGAGCGAACAGG